CUCCCAGUCCAACGCGUAGACUGCAACUGGUUGAGUUUUUUCUCUUCUGCUGCCGGGUUGCUGCAGGCCUGCAAGAGAAGGUGCAGGCUGACAUGUUUCAGAGCUGACUGAACGAAGUGGACUGCUGGAUUUACUGGAGCCAGGAGAUGGCUGCAUGGCAGACAAGGGUUUCACCAUCGAGAAGCCACUAGCUGAUCGUGGGGCAACGCUGAUUAUACCACCCUUCAAGAUGACAGGAAUACCGCAUCUGGGAACGCACUGUCCUCUCACCUUGUCUGGGACAGUCAACCAGCUGUGGACCGUCUGCUGUGUGAUGACCAACUUCCAGGGACCACUGGAU